AGCGAUUAUGGGUCGCAUUCUAGCAGUGGGACGGUGGAAGGGAUUUCAGAGCCAUUGUGGGCGAUGGUCGUGAUUAGCCGUGAUCUCCCUGCCCCGCUGCGUGGAUAUUCCAAACAGCGUUGGCAUCCAUUUGCAAUAGAAUUAGCACCUUGCCGCUGACUCCAUUUGGAUGAUCAGGAUCCCAACGCAAACCGACACAGGCUUCUUCAUUCUUGAAAAGUAAAAUAAAAAAAACAAAACAGGCAGAGGAGAAAUGUCUACUGAUUGAUGGUAUUUCAAUUCUCAACCGGGAACUUGAGUCAUAAUCAAAUGCUCAGAAAAUCCAGCUGCCGCAACCAGCAGCAAGACACCCGAAAACGAACCUCGAGCAGGGGUCCUGAUUGAGCAUGAUUCGACUGGUGUAACCGACUGCGGUUUGCGUAGCUGUUGCAACCUUCUUCUUUUUUUAUAUCUGCGUGCAUUUGAUGAUGAUGAAGAGAUCGGCUGGAAGAUCAGGGCGUGUACACGCAAGCUGUUGUUGCCUCCAAUCAUGGCGACAACGACGCAACCGCCAUGUCAACAUCAGAUGACAAAAUGGAGCGACGAGCUUAAAGAUCGAAGAUACCUGCACGAGAGCAAUCACAGGAAACAGCAGGAAGCAAUCGCCAAUUCGGUGUAUACGGAGUGACAGGCCAGCAUGAACUAGCUACCCGUGAUUAGUAGUAUAGUACAUGAAUAUGAGUAUAUAAAUAUUACCGUGUGAAUCAUAUGCAAAUUGAAACUGGUGGCGGUUUGUGGCAGUUGAGUGCAAGAUUAUCAAAAAAGGAAAACAAUAAUGUGACAGUUGAGCAUACUACUAGGCUCAGGCUGGGUACAGAACUGCAGAUUUUGUCGGCCAUCUUUUUUGUCUGAAGUUGUUGUCGGCUGUGUUUGACUGUCCCUAAAUCAUCACAUUUAUCACAAAUCCUGAUCAUUGUUUUACUUCUUUUUUUUCCGGAUUUUUAAUUGUUUUUAUUAGUGUUUGAAAUUUCCCCACGGAAUCAAGCGGCCAGUUGCAGGAUCAUUGAGCCCGGCCCGGCCCAUAUAGCAAAAAGUCUGGCUAGGAGGCUUCUUCCAUUUCUCCGGCUUCCUUAGCCUGGACUUUCCCCGCCAUUCGAUUUUACGGGCUGGGCCGAUAACAGAAAUCGUGCAUUCAAACCAUUUGCAUGCACAUGCAUGAUUCGAGAAGAGCCAAAAUAAAAAUAAAAAUAGAAAUAAAAACUACGGCUUAUCAGCAGUUGAGCACGAGCGAAUCACAUUGCAUCCGCUGCUUGAUCGUUGAAUUGUCCUUUUCAGCUAGUACUCCAACCAAUUUAUAAUUAUGCCCAUCCAAUAGAUCGAACUUUUCACAUGCAGAUGCAGCAGGCAGCCCAGAAGAUUAUCAUGUACUAAUUCUAUCUUAUGAAAAUUGAACUUCUGAAGAGAGCUUUGAUUAUGUGACUUUGGGAGACUCCUGGGACCACACUGCAUGCUGUGGACCCCACGCAUCAGUAGAACAGCAUCCAUGCAUCUGUGGAUACUGCUUGGUACACGCCUGGAGAAAUCCGGUUUUCAGGCAGAGUGUUCUUCGAAAUGGACAAACUCAGUUGAAUGCAUUUAGAACGUAUGUAGCAGUUGCAGCCUGUAGUCCUGUAAUCAAAGAACAGGCCCACAGCCGUUUUCAGUUGCUGUCCCACUUCCAAUCAGUAGGCCUGUUUUGGAGUAGUCUUGGUCCGAUAACUCCAAACUGAAGCAGGUUUUUCAAAAAAAAAAAAAACUCCAAACUGAAGCACAUGAAAAUCCUAGCCUAAAUAUCCGGUAUCCCAUUUUCAGAGUUGAUUAUUCCCUUACGAUGGGGGGUUUUGGAUUCUCUAGUAUGUUAUCAUUGCCGUGCUUGAAAUUAACUGGCUAAGAACGUUAUCUUCUAGAAAUGCAUUGGUAAGUGAAGGACCGAAAGGGCGACCAGAGGGGGGGUGAAUGGGAGCCUAUAAAAAUUUUUAAUGAGAAUAAGGCCUAUGUCCCAAAUGCAACCCCACAGCACACUGCGCGUUGUAUCGUCAAGAUGACGCAAGUCAACUCGUGACAGGCUCACCCUAGGAACGAUUUGACACGCUCAAGACAUAACGGAAGCAAGACAUGAAAUUACUCUAACAAGUUUGCUCAAAACACAAUUAACCAGAUCACUCCUAGCUAAUCCGUCAACUAAGCAAAAAAGAAAUAAUAAUUUAAAGUGCUAGGCGUGAUUAGCAAAUGAGAGAGCAAAAUAAUUAAUAGUUAGACUUGAUUAGCAAAAGUGACAACUAAUUAAAAGCUAAGCAAGUGACGCAAGAUGACUCACUAAUUCCAAGAAUUAAAAAUAGAGAAAACUUGAACUCACAGUGGUGUCACAAAAUGAGGCAGGACUUGUUCACGUGAAUCAGCCUGGGAGCUUGUUCGGCCUGUGCACCUCGCGUGGGUCACCUUGUGUGCUGCUACUUCACAUGGGCUUGGCCUGCUAGUGCUGCCUUGAAGCUUGGGCCAGCGUAUGUGCAAGCUGGGCUGCUGCUCUACCUUGUUGCCUGGGCCACGAGCACCUGCUUGGGCCGCCGCAAGCUCCUGCGCUAGCUGCACUUGCUCUGGCCCGUGCUGGACUGGACCGCUAGGAGUAGCGUGCUGGGCUGGUCCGCCUAGCCGCUGACGGCCCGCUCGCUGCUGCAACUUGCACGUGCGCCCCGCGUGCCUGUGCGAUCGAUUGCUGCUGCGCUUCUUCCUGCGCACGAACAGACAGAGAGAAACAAGAACACCACGAACACCACUUAAACUUCAAACUAAAAAUACUCCCUCAAAAUUCCAUGAAUCGAGACAAAACUUGAGCUAUAGAUGCGCAACCACAAGUGCGAAUAGAUCCAUGAGAAAGAUCUCAAAAAGCUCAAGUAUCCAUCACGGAUUUUAGAGAAAACCGAAAUCCUAACUCAAAAACGCGAUUUGGGAAAAACUCAAAAUCAAGCCGGAUUCGUGAGGGAUUUGAAAGGAGAUCAUAUCACGAAUGCUCUCCAAGGUCCUAGCAACAUUUCCCUUCAACCAAUCUCACAAGAUUCGGGCUCAAACAUGAUGAACGAAAAAUCCCCAAAAAAUAGUUCCGAAAAUAGGGAAAAAGAAAAACGCUCGGGAAUCAAAGAUUUAGCACGAUUUGAGACAACAAAUAAAGCUAAAUCACGAGAACAUCUUCUAUACAAGAUGAGGACUAGCCUCCUCCCUUCAUCCACCCACUAAAGAUGAAGAAAUCAAGAGAAAAGAGUAAUCACACCCUAAUCCCCCUCUCUCCUCUCACUUUAAGCACAUGACUAGCCUCUAAGCAAAUAGAUAAUGAGUUGCUAAGCAAAGAGGUACUGAAAUAACCAGCCCCCCAUCCCUAUUUAUAGUCCAGGACGAAAGACUAUACUACCCUUACAGCUACAACUAAGAUAACUACCCACGCAGGGGCAUUUUGGUCCAAGUUUUUAUACGUGCAUCGGACGGACACGCCGCCUUCACGACUUUGCUUCGCCUCGACGCAAGCUUCGCGAUGACGCCACGUGCCCUCCUUCUCGAAGCUCCGGCCGCACCGGGCUCGCCCCCGGUUUUGAGGCCCAAACCGGGAAACCUGCCUGCGCGGUGGUUUUGAGGCCCAAACCACCCAAACCGUCCAUUGACGCGUGUCCGGCCUCCGCCAAGCCUCCCGCUUGACUCGACCGACGUCGUCUCCAACCUGUCAUGCCCUCUCGCCAUUCCGUGCACCAUGUGGAUCGCCGUGACUUCGCCCGGACUCCUCGGGUCCAUCGGUCCAAGCCUACUCGCGUUCAUCCUUCACCGCCCUUGGUCCAUCGGCAUGAACCUUUCGCUUGACCUUCACCGCACGCCGUCGACCGUCACAUCGCAUCCUACACCUGCACAUCACAAGCCAAGAGAAACAUCAAACCAACACAACGUUGUCAAUCACUCAUCAUCCAAGGGUGACCACCAUUGGUCCUCAAUCUCCCCCUUGAUGAGUGCAUUGACAACACCCCACAAAUUCAUAGUAUUGAAACAGAAAAACAAGAAACUCAAAAUAGAAAAAUCUCAGUCCCCUAAGAUAAGGGCAACGGCUCUACACAACUGAGACAAAAUCAUGUGAUCCCUCAAGAAGAGGCAGAAAAUGGGCUCAACACCAAUCACAUGAAAAUCCAAACUCAAAUCAAAACCGGCUCCUCAAGAAGAGGUAAACAGCUCAACACGACCAGUAUAAGGGCAUAAGAGCAUAACAAGAGUAUAACAACUCAUAAAUACUCCCCCUGAACAUAUGCACUCCCCCUGAAAUCAUGCAUACAUGCAAAGUCUCCCCCUUGAUAGAUGAAAGAGUUUGUGUAGAUUUCUCUCCCCCUUGUUGACAAUGCAAUCAUCAAGAGCAUGAAAGCACAAAGUGCAUGCCAUGGAAAUGCAGAACCUAACAAGCUUCUCAAAUAUAUCACAAUGCACUCUCAAAGGCUACUAGGGAGAUAAAGCUUGAUAGAUCAUAAGAAACAAUAGCAUCGCCAACAAGAUGAUAUCAAGUUACAACAGUGGAGGUGAAGCAAAUAUCAAGUUUUAGCAAUGUAUAAAAAGAUCACCACAUGAGCAUUCACCUAGUUAAGAAUCACCCAAGCAAGAAAAGACUAGUCCAUCAAGAGCUCAUAUUAGGAAAAUCCAUUCUCAACAAGAGAUCAUUGCAAACACCCACAUAUGCAUCCCAAGUCAUGUUUAAAGCUUGUUGAAACCAAGUGUCUACUUCUUUUGGUAGACAUCUUGUAACAACUAAGCAAGCAAUAAUAUCACAUUAAGCACAAAAACUUGUGAAUUUAUGAAGUUUUCAGCAUAUUUAUUUUCAGUAUUCACACAAAGCAAAAUACAUGAAGUGCCUUUGCGGCACAAGGAAGCCAUGCUUCCCCAAGGGGUGCAUCAUGGGCUAAACAUUUGCAAUGAUACCUAGAUCUUUGACCCAAUUGAAAAGAACAUGAAUUCCAAACAUAAGCUAGAUAUGGAACCAAUAUUCAACCAAGGGCAAACCAUAACCAAGCAUCUACUCAUGGGUGAUAAGCAAGUUAAUAGAGUAGAAUUUAGCAUUGAAUUUCAAAAACAGUUAUCUCAACAAGUAUACAAUAUCAUCAAGAGCAUAACUGCACAUUGCAUCAAAAUCACCAACCACAGCACUACCUCACAGGUAGCAUAAGGGAGUACACAAGAUAUAUAGGAGAAGCUCAUCUAGUGCAACAUGAUACAAAAUGCAAUAUGAUACAAAAUGCAUGGAAACUAAGCUAAAAUGAUACAGAUGAACAACAUGCCAUACCCAAAUGUGUACUAAGGUAAAGCAUGACAUGAUGUUCAUAUGUAUCAUCCACCACAGUAUAUCACAAAAAUAGCAUGAUAAGAUAUACAUGAAGAACUCAAAGCUAUCAUGAACAAGUGACUAUCCUACCAUGUUUUGUACAAAAAUGAUACAAGUAUAAUACAAGAGAAGCUCCAAAAACCCAACUCAGAAAGGAAAGCAAACACCCAACUCCCCCCGCAAACGAGCAAAAUUGGCUUGAUCCAGGGGUUUGGUGAAAAUGUCCGCGAGUUGGUUUUGGGUAGCAACAUAGCCAAGGUCAAUAUCCCCUUUCUCAACAUGAUCUCUCAGAAAAUGAUAUCUCACAUCAAUGUGUUUAGUUUUUGAGUGGAGAACGGGGUUCUUGGCUACACUAAUGGCACUCGUGCUGUCACAAAGAAGAGGUACACGAGUAAAAUCCAAACCAAAGUCUCUCAAAGUGGAAAUCAUCCAAAGCAGCUGAGAACAACAGCUAGCAGCAGCAACAUACUCAGCUUCGGUGGUAGACUGAGCAACACUAGAUUGUUUACGAGAAGACCAAGAGACCAAAGACGAACCGAGAAACUGGCAAGUACCCGAGGUAGACUUGCGAUCCAAGCGACACCCAGCAAAGUCCGCAUCGGAGUAUCCCCGGAGCGUGAGUGUCGAGGAGGCAGAAUACCACAAACCGAACUCAGGGGUAAAGCGGAGAUACCUCAUGAUCCUCUUCACUGCUUGACGGUGAGAUGUCCUCGGUGAAGCUUGAAAACGAGCGCACAGACACACGGCGAAGUGUAUGUCCGGCCUCGUCGCCGUCAGGUACAAGAGGGAGCCGAUCAUGCUUCUGUACUCCUUCUGGUCCACCGGUUCGCCAUCUUCAUCCGCAUCUAGUGCUGUCGUCGUACCCAUUGGUGUGGAGAGUGGCUUAGCAUCAGCCAUGUCAAACUUCCUCAACACGUCCUUCGUGUACUUCCCUUGGUGCACGAAGGUUCCUUCCUUGCUUUGCUUGAUCUGUAGCCCGAGGAAGAAGGUCAACUCACCCAUCAUCGACAUCUCGAACUCCCUGCUCAUGUCAUCUGCAAACUUGGCAACCAAAACAUGAGAAGAACCACCAAAGAUAAUAUCAUCCACGUAUAUCUGAAUAAUCAAUAAGUCAUUGCCUUGCCUGAGGAGAAAGAGUGUUUUAUCAACUGAUCCCAUUUCAAACCCAUUCCCAAGCAAAAAGGAUUUCAAUCUAGCAUACCACGCUCGGGGUGCUUGUUUUAGGCCAUAGAGAGCUUUCUGGAGUUUGAAAACACGAUCAGGAUAUUUAGGACUCUCAAAACCAGGGGGUUGUUUCACAUACACUUCCUCCUCUAUGAAACCAUUUAGGAAGGCACUUUUCACAUCCAUUUGGAAGAGCUUAAAACCUUUAGCCACAGAGAAGGCUAGAAGGAUUCUAAUUGCUUCCAAACGGGCAACAGGGGCAAAGGUUUCCUCAUAAUCUAUCCCCUCUUUUUGGCUAAAACCUUGGGCAACCAACCUCGCUUUAUUUCUCACAAUCAACCCAUCCUCACCUUGUUUGUUUUUGAAAACCCAUUUUGUUCCUAUAGGAUGGCAAUUUGGAGGUGGUUCAACUAAAACCCAAACCCUGUUUCGCUCAAAAUUCUCCAACUCCUCAUGCAUGGCAUUAACCCAAUUUGAAUCAGAUAGAGCAUGUCCAAUAUCUCGGGGUUCGAAAGAGGCAACAAAUGCAGAAUGUGCAAAGUGUGAAAUAUGCCUAGAGCUGUGCCUAGUGGUGCGUUCAUGUAAGUUACCGAUCAUCUGUUGUGGAGGAUGACGACGCUGAAUGUGCCGUGGAGCCUCUCGCUCUGAAGUCGCCUCCCCCUCAACAGCAGCUGGAUCACUCUGAUCUUCUUCUUCUUCAUCCUGUAGUGGUACUAGUUGAUGGCUUGAAGUAGUGGAAGUAGAGGUAGGGCCAUCAACUCUCGUAGUCGAAGUAGAAGGUAUAGGUGCAACAGCUGGAGCUCGGUCAAUCUCAUCAUCCUCUUCCUCACCACCAUCUACACACUCUUCCUCUUCCUCAAAUAUGCUUUGCCCCAUUUCAUGUUCACCUGCAACUUCAAAGACAGGAGUUGUGCAAGGCAUAGUUUCAUCGAAUGUAAUCUCACAAGUUUCCACGAUCCGGUUAGUUUCAAGGUUAAGCACACGAUAAGCACGACUAUGAGAAGCAUAACCAAGAAAAAUCCCAUCCGUAGAACGAGACUCAAAUUUAUCCAAAUUUCCUUGCUUGAGAAUGAAACACUUGCAGCCAAACACCCUCAGAUGACUCACUUUGGGGGAACGUCGAUGCAUCAGCUCAUAAGAAGUUUUCUUCAGGAAAGCUCGCAAAAAGAUUCGAUUGGACACGUAGCAAGCAGUGUUGACGGCUUCGGCCCAAUAUUUUCUAGGAGUCCUAUGCUCAUCAAGCAUCGUCCUAGCCAUUUCACAAAGGGUCCGAUUCUUCCGUUCAACAACACCAUUCUGAGGAGGGACAUAAGGCGAUGAAAACUGGUGUUCAAGACCAAGAUCAUUGCAAAAGGCUUUAAAACGAACGUUUUUGAAUUCUGUGCCAUUGUCACUGCGGAUAGCUCUCAUGGCAUCGUUUGGUCGCUCGUUUCUCAACCUCAAGAUCAAAUCUCGAACAAAAGGAAAUGCCUCAUCCUUAGAUUCCAUGAAGAAAACCCAUGAAUACCUCGAAAAAUCAUCAACGAUCACAAGCACAUACCACUUCCCACCGACUGAACAAACACGAGCUGGACCAACUGUGUCCAUAUGCAACAGCUCGCCUGGAUGUUCAGUCAUCACCUGAUUCACAGGUGGAUGGGAAGCAGCAACCAUCUUCCCAUGUCGACAGGGAGCACAAACAAGAUCUUUCUCAAACUUUAAUUUAGGCAAACCACGAAUAAGAUCCAAAGUACUCAAGCGGGAAAGCAAAUCAAAACUCAAAUGACCCAAUCUCCUAUGCCAUUUCCAAAGUUCAGAAGAUGAGCCAGCCACUAAACACCGAGAGAGACCAAAUGACUUGGAAAAAUCAACUCGAAACACUUGACCCUCGGGGACGAUCAUACACACAAGAUCGCCUUGAGAGUCUAAAAUCCUUGAGGUCCCUUGCUUAAAACGGACCUCAAAACCAUCAUCAAGUAGUUGCGACACGGAGAGCAAAUUGAAACCAAGAGAAUCAACUAGAGCAACUCGCUUGAGCAUGAAAUUCUCACUCACCUUGAUAACACCUUCAGACAACACCUUACCUUUGCUAUUAUCCCCGAAAGUGAUGUACUCCUUGAUCAUCACCGGGGUGAGGCUGGAGAACCAUCUGUGAUCACCGGUCAUGUGUCGAGAGCAACCGGAAUCAAUAAGCCACGUGUUCUCCAGGCCUCCGACCUGCUCAAACAAAGGGAGACCAAGGAUGAGCAAAUGACUCAACACUGGGGUUAGAAAAACAAGUAGAAUACCAGUGUCGAACCAUUUGCUCAAGAGUGGGGUUAUCAAAAUCAACCAUCUCUCGUCUCACAGGAGGACUACGACCAACGCUAGGGGGAAAACGUGGUCCGUUGUAACUCCGAGACUCAAAGCCACGGCCAUAUUGUCCUGGGCCAUAUUGAUCAUGGCGAGGAGCAUGCCUAGCAAAAACACGCGAAGGAGCAAAACGCACACUAUCCACACGACGAGGUGGAGGAGCUGCUCUAGGCGCAUGUACACCAUGAGAAGGGUGGUACAUGUCCCUGUUGCCCCACUCACGCUCACGCCUCAAAGCCUUCUUCUUGCGAAAGCAAAACUCCUCAAGGUGACCCCAUCUCUUGCAAUACUCACAGUGGAAUCUAGCAGGCUGUUUUGGCUGAGGAUUCACUCUCGGUUGUGGCUUGUCUUGAGGUUUUGGUGGAGGUUUCUUAGGAGCAAUAUCUGGAAGUGUGUCAAGUUUGUUCUUGAGGUGGUUUGGCUUUUCGACCCAAAUGGCUUUCUUGGGUGCUUUAGGUGGUGUCUCAAUGAAAAUCCCAUCUCUCACACACUCAGACAAGUUUUGCUCACAAGCUGGGUUGGGUUGCUCUCUAUUUUUAGUGGGUGACUCUCGAGGGGUGUAGUCAAUUGGUGGCUCACACUGAUUGUAGCUUGGUUUCUUUCUCUCACCACUGUUUUGACCCACCUUCUCACACAACCCAUCAAAGAACUUGUGCAACCCAUUAAAAAGACAUCCCUUCAUAACCGACCCAAGCCCAAAACCAUCAGCCCUUUUGAACUCUUGAAUCAUCAUGCCUAACUGAGGUUCCCUACUUGACACCCAACUAAGAACAGUGCGCAAGUAGGAAUUUUCAUCCUCAACAUGUUGCAAAUUAAGUUUGAGUUCAGGACAAACAGUGCAUUCAGGAAGUUUAGAUCUAGCAAUAAACUCAGAAUUCUCUAAAGCACUAAGCUUAGCACAUGCAUCAUCCAACUGAACUUGCAAAGCAGGGCAAGACUUACAUGCACUAAGCAAAAUAGGCCUAUUCUUGACCUCAUCUAAAGCAGCCCUAGUCAAAUCCAAUUCAUCUACCAACAAAGCAUGCUUAGAUUGUAAAGAUGCAAGACUAGCCAUAUGAACACCACAUUCAUCACACUCAACAACAUCAGAAACAGUAGAAGCAGAUUUAAGCAUGUCUAUCUCAAUCAAGGCACUUUCUAACUUAGCCUUAAGCUCAACUCGCUCUUUAGCAGCCUUCUUAAGCAGUUUAUCUUGAUUGAUUAGGCAAUCAUUAAGUUCUUCUACUUCUAGAGCAAGUUGUUCAGGAGUAGACUUUACCUCAGUUUCUGUGUCGGAGUCACUUUCCUUGUCAUCCUUCUUGGAGUUGAGAGCCAUGACACAGUACCCGUCGCGGUUCUUGUCGGAGUAGAAGCAGAGGCCAUUGAAGUUCUUGCCAUCCUUCUUCUUUGCCUUGCGGUCGUCGUCCUCCUCGCUUGAGCUUGAGUCGGUGUGGUCGUCGGUGUCGGAGUCGACGUCGCUGAGGGAGGCGAUGAAGGCACGUGCUUUGGCCUUCUUGCGAUACUCCUUCUUCUCGCGAUCGGUGUACUUCUUUUUCUUCUUGGUGCCGUCCUUGUUCUUGUGCUUGUUGUAGUCGUACUUGCUCUUGGUUUUGUUUUUGUCGGGGCAGUCGGCGGCGAAGUGGCCUGGCUUGCCACAAUCGAAGCAGUUGUUGUUGUUCCUUCGCCUGUUCUUGCGGUUGUCGUUGAAGCGCAUGAAUCGCCUCGUGAUCAAGGCGAGCUCAUCAUCGUCAAGAACCUCCAGCUGCUCCUCUGAAACAGAAACCAAAGAAGACAAGGCAAACGACAUAGAAGAAGAGUUACUCAAAGACUUAGGCUGUCCAGAGCCUGACAUGAGAGCCAUACUAUUUGGAUCAGUAGGGCCUCCUUGUUUUGCUCGGAGUCUCUUGUCAACCUCCGUGGAUUUCAACUUGGCAAAGAGUUCAUCAGUGGAAAGUGUUUCAUAAUUCGGUGACUCGAUGAUAGCAUCAACCUUCGUACCCCACACUUCGUGAUCCAAGGCAUGCAGGAGCUUUAAAGCUCUAUCAUGAUCAGUGUAGGGUAAGACGGUGAUAUUUGCUUUCAUCUUGUUCACAAUAGCCAAGAAACGCUGAAACAAAGCACCGGCAGACUCACCAGGCAAAUGAACAAAGUUCUCAUACUCACGCCUGUAAGUCUCAAAGAGUCUAGCCUUCACCUGACUGUUUCCCUCGUGGAAACUCUGAAGUCGAGACCAAAUCUCAUGAGCAAGAGAGAGAUCUUCGACUCGAUCGAACUCAGCACGACUCAGACUCGCAAACAGAAUAUCAACCGCCUUGCUGUUGGCGUGAUACUUAUCCCUUUCAUCCUGAGUCACACGAGUAGCAGGAAUCACAUAAGUCACAUCCUGAGUGAUUUCCCAAACCCCUGCUCCCCUACUAUUUAGAUGGGCUCUCAUGCGAGUUUUCCAAUACCGAUAAUCAGAGCCAUCAAAGUAGGGUGCAGCGGUCGAGGAAGAACGCUCAGAGGUCGCCAUAAUAGGUUUCGAAACCGAUUAGGGUAUGGAGAAACCUUAACCGGCUCUGAUACCAAUUGAAGGACCGAAAGGGCGACCAGAGGGGGGGUGAAUGGGAGCCUAUAAAAAUUUUUAAUGAGAAUAAGGCCUAUGUCCCAAACGCAACCCCACAGCACACUGCGCGUUGUAUCGUCAAGAUGACGCAAGUCAACUCGUGACAGGCUCACCCUAGGAACGAUUUGACACGCUCAAGACAUAACGGAAGCAAGACAUGAAAUUACUCUAACAAGUUUGCUCAAAACACAAUUAACCAGAUCACUCCUAGCUAAUCCGUCAACUAAGCAAAAAAGAAAUAAUAAUUUAAAGUGCUAGGCGUGAUUAGCAAAUGAGAGAGCAAAAUAAUUAAUAGUUAGACUUGAUUAGCAAAAGUGACAACUAAUUAAAAGCUAAGCAAGUGACGCAAGAUGACUCACUAAUUCCAAGAAUUAAAAAUAGAGAAAACUUGAACUCACAGUGGUGUCACAAAAUGAGGCAGGACUUGUU
rnacentral:lncRNA from 1 species